rnacentral:rRNA from 1 species
UUUAUUGGAGAGUUUGAUCCUGGCUCAGGAUGAACGCUGGCGGCGUGCCUAAUACAUGCAAGUCGAGCGAAUGGAUUAAGAGCUUGCUCUUAUGAAGUUAGCGGCGGACGGGUGAGUAACACGUGGGUAACCUGCCCAUAAGACUGGGAUAACUCCGGGAAACCGGGGCUAAUACCGGAUAACAUUUUGAACCACAUGGUUCGAAAUUGAAAGGCGGCUUCGGCUGUCACUUAUGGAUGGACCCGCGUCGCAUUAGCUAGUUGGUGAGGUAACGGCUCACCAAGGCAACGAUGCGUAGCCGACCUGAGAGGCUGACCGGCCACACUGGGACGGAGACACAGACCAGACCCCUACCGGAGG